rnacentral:rRNA from 2 species
AGAGUUUGAUCCUGGCUCAGAUUGAACGCUGGCGGCAUGCUUUACACAUGCAAGUCGAACGGUAACAGGCCGCAAGGUGCUGACGAGUGGCGAACGGGUGAGUAAUGUAUCGGAACGUGCCCAGUCGUGGGGGAUAACGCAGCGAAAGCUGCGCUAAUACCGCAUACGAUCUAUGGAUGAAAGCGGGGGACCGUAAGGCCUCGCGCGAUCGGAGCGGCCGAUAUCAGAUUAGGUAGUUGGUGGGGUAAAGGCUCACCAAGCCAACGGUCUGUAGCUGGUCUGAGAGGACGACCAGCCACACUGGGACUGAGACACGGCCCAGACUCCUACGGGAGGCAGCAGUGGGGAAUUUUGGACAAUGGGCGCGAGCCUGAUCCAGCAAUGCCGCGUGCAGGAAGAAGGCCUUCGGGUUGUAAACUGCUUUUGUACGGAACGAAACGGUCCUGGUUAAUACCCGGGGCUAAUGACGGUACCGUAAGAAUAAGCACCGGCUAACUACGUGCCAGCAGCCGCGGUAAUAC